CUGACUAAUAAGUUAAAAGUGAAAUCCCGAGGCUUAACCUUGGAAUUGCUUUUAAAACUGUUAAUCUAGAGAUUGAAAGAGGAUAGAGGAAUUCCUAGUGUAGAGGUAAAAUUCGUAAAUAUUAGGAGGAACACCAGUGGCGAAGGCGUCUAUCUGGUUCAAAUCUGACGCUGAGGCGCGAAGGCGUGGGUAGCAAACAGGAUUAGAUACCCUGGUAGUCCACGCUGUAAACGAUGAAUGUUAAAUAUGGGAAAUUUAUUUUCUGUAUUACAGCUAACGCGUUAAACAUUCCGCCUGGGGACUACGGUCGCAAGAUUAAAACUCAAAGGAAUUGACGGGGACCCGCACAAGCGGUGGAGCAUGUGGUUUAAUUCGAUGCAACGCGAAAAACCUUACCACUCCUUGACAUGGAAAUCAUACCUAUUCGAAGGGAUAGGGUCGGUUCGGCCGGAUUUCACACAGGUGUUGCAUGGCUGUCGUCAGCUCGUGUCGUGAGAUGUUGGGUUAAGUCCCGCAACGAGCGCAACCCUCAUCCUUAGUUACCAUCAGAUAAUGCUGGGGACUUUAAGGAAACUGCUAGUGAUAAACUGGAGGAAGGUGGGGAUGAUGUCAAGUCAUCAUGGCCCUUAUGGAGUGGGCUACACACGUGCUACAAUGGUGGCUACAAUGGGCUGCAAAGUCGCGAGGCUAAGCUAAUCCCUUAAAAGCCAUCUCAGUUCGGAUUGCACUCUGCAACUCGAGUGCAUGAAGUUGGAAUCGCUAGUAAUCGUGGAUCAGCAUGCCACGGUGAAUACGUUCUCGGGUCUUGU
rnacentral:rRNA from 1 species